ACCUGGCUGGCUCAGUCAGUAGAGCACAUGACUCUUGAUCUCGGGAUCAUGAGUUCAAGCCCCAUGUUGGAUA
rnacentral:tRNA from 1 species